UCAGAUAAUUGGUAAUGCCCUU
rnacentral:misc_RNA from 1 species